rnacentral:lncRNA from 1 species
UAGUCUUUCUAUUCUUAUUUUUAAUUCUUUUCGUUUUUCAGAGAUAAUUUGUUUUAAUUCUUUAUAUUGUUGUAUUUUAUUCAUUUUAAAUUAUAUUUAUAAUAUCUCGGUGGAUAUCUAAAUCUAAUUUUAUCAUAAUUAGGUGGUAUAUGUUUCAUUCUUCUAGAUUUUAAAUGUGUUAUUAAUUUUGAUUCAAUACUAGAUAUUAAUGUAAUUAAAUAGGCUAAUUUUUGUGGAUUUUCUUUUGUUUUAUUUAGACUUAUAUAUUCUGAAUAAUUACUAAUUAAUGAUUCUUUAAUUUUUCUAAAAGCUUCUCUAUUUUUAAAUGGUCUUCGCAUAAUUAAUUUUCUAUU